GAUGAACGCUGGCGGCGUGCCUAAUACAUGCAAGUCGAGCGAACAGACGAGGAGCUUGCUCCUCUGACGUUAGCGGCGGACGGGUGAGUAACACGUGGAUAACCUACCUAUAAGACUGGGAUAACUUCGGGAAACCGGAGCUAAUACCGGAUAAUAUAUUGAACCGCAUGGUUCAAUAGUGAAAGACGGUUUUGCUGUCACUUAUAGAUGGAUCCGCGCCGCAUUAGCUAGUUGGUAAGGUAACGGCUUACCAAGGCGACGAUGCGUAGCCGACCUGAGAGGAUGAUCGGCCCCACUGGAACUGAGACACGGUCCAGACUCCUACGGGAGGCAGCAGUAGGGAAUCUUCCGCAAUGGGCGAAGGCCUGACGGAGCAACGCCGCGUGAGUGAUGAAGGUCUUCGGAUCGUAAAACUCUGUUAUUAGGGAAGAACAAAUGUGUAAGUAACUAUGCACGUCUUGACGGUACCUAAUCAGAAAGCCACGGCUAACUACGUG
rnacentral:rRNA from 1 species